rnacentral:lncRNA from 1 species
UUAAUGGAAAGUACGGUGACGCGUGUGACCUUGAUUGUUCUGACAACUGUAAAGGCAAAUCAUGCUGGAAGGAAAAUGGAUAUUGCCCAGAAUGCACUCCUGGAAUGUAUGGUCCAUACUGUUCAUCGAAUUGUCCGGGAACAUGCAAAGACAAUAGUUGUCAACAAAUCGAUGGAGUAUGCAAUGAAUGCGUACCUGGUCUGUAUGGCUCCGACUGUACUCAGACCUGUCCAGUCAGCUGUAAAGACAAGUGUGAAAGAAACACCGGAAAUUGCAAUGGAUCUGAUCUUGAUGGUUAUUGAAAAUACACAGCUGAACAGAGAAACAUAUAUCCAGAAAAUCGACUUUUUUUUACAAAAAUCGAGUCGAAAAUCAUCACAAUAAAGGAAAAGCUACAUGCCAACACCUAUGAUCUAUCACAUAUAUUAUCAAUAUGCAACUAAUAAAACUCCAAAUUAAAUCAUAUUGUUAUCAGAUAGCAAUAAAGGUAUGGUAUAUUUACCUAAUCAUUGACUGUGUUACAGCGUAACGGUAUUUUCUGAAUUCCGGUAAUUGUAUUUUAUCUGAUUGAACAGACAUAGACUAAUGAUUCUCACAUUUGUACUAAAAACCUUCAUAUCUGCAUUUAAACACAAUACAUAUUUAAUUUGUAAUUGAAGAUCAGCUGAUAAAAAAAAAAAUCUGAAAUAAAUAACCAGCUGAGAACCUGUACAAUCUGUAAUUGAUGUUUAGCAAUGCAUAUAUAAUUCAGUAAUAUAUAAUAAGCUGGCAAAAUCUGUCAGCAAUUAUCAGUUGGUGCGUAUACGAUUCUGUAAGUAGUUAUCAGUUGGUACGUACACGAUUCUGUAAGUAAUUAUCAGUUGGUACGUACACGAUUAUGUAAUUGAUCAUCAGCUGUUCCAUAUAUUCUGUUAUGAAGAAAACCAAAUUCGUAUAUGUGAAUAUGCGUUUAAUUUUGUAGUCUUUGAAGUUGGAAAUGUGGACUGACCUGCAAUCUGGCCUCUUCAAAAGUUAAUUGUAGAUUGUGCAAUGUGAACGGAUAAAUGACGUUGUAAAGGUUGGGGAAAUUCGUAGUUAUUAAAAAUCAUUGGUAAUUCAUCAACCGCUCCAAAAUGUCAUGACAUAGCGAAUUCAAAAUGUCCAUCUUAUGUUUAUUUUUUCAGCGGUUUUUGUAUAAACCCGUUUUCUGUGUCCUGCUCUGUAGUAAUUCAAAUAGCAUGCUGUAUAGCUACAUAUAUGAAUAUACAUAUAACAUGUUUUAAUUUGCCACAUUACACUGCGAAUAGUUUUAUCGGCAAAAUGCAAUCAGUAAAUCGUUUGCUUUUGAAUAAAAGCAUAUCAACUGAAAUGCAUUUGAUCACAUUAUUUAGAGUUACUGACAUGCCCGGACAACUGUAAAGCCAAACAGAUGAGAGAAUGGACACUCAACAUUUAUAUUAUCAGGCAAACAUUCUUAAGCUGUCAAGCACAAGGCUGCCCCUUGGGUUGAUAUCCCUCGAUUAUAGCCUAGUAAGGAUUAAAUAUUCUAGAAAUUCGUCAUAGGUGACCUGUUAAGUUCCAGUUUGUCAAAUACAGUUUUUGCUUAAUUUCUUUGUAAUUCUAUCCUAAUGGAGAAACAUUCCAUCCAUUUGUGUUAUAAUCUAUAUUAUAUUUAAAAGCUAUGAAGCUGGAAACUUCACCGACCACUGUGAUAGGAGUUGUCCGUCCACUUGUACAACAUACGUCUGUGACGUCAAUACACAGUACUGUACAGUACCACGCACACAGACAGUUUAAAACUACCACUGCGUUAGGGAUAGUGGUCGAAUAGGGAUUGACCAUUCUGGAUUUUUUGGUUGUAUUGGUCAUCAUAUUGGUUGAAGAAUCAAGGAGGCAGCAUUCCACUCCAAUGACAGAUAUGUCCCAGCCUGUGAGGUCACAGAAAAUGCAGAUGGUACAUAAGCCAAAAUAGGAUCCCAUACCAUGACACAACCUACCGAGACGAACAGAACCGAUAAAAAUUAAGAACAACUGGACUCUCUGAACAGAGAACCAACACAAGUCUGUUUGACUGCCUAGACGGUUGUUUAGUAAAUGUGAGGACAAAAGGUCAAACAAGAAGCUAAAUUUCGACUGCAUACUUUAUCAAAUCGGACAGCCAUGCUGUACAUUACGAUUGCACAAACUUCAACCUUUUUCAAAACGUUAAAUGCACAAAAAGUGUAAUGUCACUUUUUAGGACGUAAUACUAAAUGUUAUAGCAGUGACGUAAUUAUCAUCUAUGAUUUGUCCAAUUUUGAUGCUAGAUUCUUGUUAAGAAUGGUUUUGCCUGUAUGUGAUAAAAAUUGGGGAAGUUGAGAAAAAUGAAAACCCUUCAUUGUGAUUGGUCAACCCCUUUAUUAUGAUUGGUCAAGAAUGUGUAUCUAGCGCACAUUGCUUGAUUUAGUGAAAUACACUCAGAAGAGCUAGCAUGUAUUUUGAAAACUAAAUUGAUAGGUCAACUCAACGUAUCCUCUCUAUCAUAAUGAAACACAUACAUGUAAUACAAGACAGCUUGACAAUUCCAGACGAAGGAAUCAAAUGUUCUCAUGACACUGACUCAAUAAUGCAUGUUUACGUACGUAUUCAGUUGAUUUUUUAAUGUACAGUAGUAGGUCAUGGAUACAGUAAGUCAAAUAUCAUGCAAAGUAGUUUUUAAUUAACUCAUUUCUGAUUUACCUUCGUUUAUAUAUAGAAAUGACAACAGUUCAUUUAAGAUUUUAUUAAAAUACUCUGUGUACAUGUUUGUAAAUCUUCCUGUCAUUCUAUUUAUGCAUUUCCAGACUGACCACAUUUUAUUUUCCAUAUAUAUUAAACAAAUGCUUUAAAACAAUAUCUAUAAAUCCUAUGUUUGCUACUAUAGCUAUCGAGAAAUCGGUUUGCUUGGUGUUUUUUUGGUUUCUGUUAUCAUUCAUGA